AUGAUGAUGUCACUGACUCCACUGCUGCUCACUCUGGGCCUCCUUGUUCAUGGUUCAUCAGGAGACAUCGUCCUGACUCAGACUCCUGGAUCUCAGUCUGUAGCUCCAGGACAGACUGUCUCCAUCACUUGUAGAACAAGCUCAGAUGUUCGCAGCUACCUCGCCUGGUAUCUUCAGAAACCUGCUGAAGCUCCUAAACUCCUGAUUUAUUACCCUUCAACCCGUCAGUCUGGAGUUCCAGAUCGUUUCAGUGGACAAGGAUCAGGGACACAGUACACUCUGACCAUCAGCAGAGUCCAGCCUGAAGAUGCAGGAGUUUAUUAUUGUCAGCAGGCAGGACUGGCUGACUUUGUGUCACUGUGGUACACGUUCGGAGGAGGAACCAGACUGGAGGUUGGAAGUGACCUCCAGCCCAGCCUGACCGUGCUGCCCCCCUCCAGCCAGGAGCUGCAGCAAGAGCAGGCCACGUUGGUGUGUCUGGCCAACAAGGGCUUCCCCUCAGGCUGGACUCUGUCCUGGAAGGUGGACGGCCAAAGCAGGAAGGGGAGCCAGAGCCCCGGGCUGCUGGGGAAGGACGGCCACUACAGCUGGACCAGCACUCUGACCAUCCCUGCUGACCAGUGGAGGAAGGUGGGCUCUGUGACCUGUGAGGCCACCCAGGGCUCCCAGACUCCAGUCUCAGAGACACUGAGGAGACAGCAGUGUUCCCAGUCCUGAGCAGAGCCGCCUGGACCCCAGCAGCUCUCUGCUUCUGUCCCUCGCUCACUCUCUGACCACAUCUUCACUCUUUUGUUUCUUGGAGUUUGGAUCACUUCAUGACAAUA